AGCGAACGCUGGCGGCAGGCUUAACACAUGCCAGUCGAGCGCCCCGCAAGGGGAGCGGCAGACGGGAGAGUACCACGUGGGAACAUACCUUUUGGUUCGGAACAACUGAGGGAAACUUCAGCUAAUACCGGAUAAGCCCUUACGGGGAAAGAUUUAUCGCCGAAAGAUUGGCCCGCGUCUGAUUAGCUAGUUGGUGAGGUAACGGCUCACCAAGGCGACGAUCAGUAGCUGGUCUGAGAGGAUGAUCAGCCUCACUGGGACUGAGACACGGCCCAGACUCCUACGGGAGGCAGCAGUGGGGAAUAUUGGACAAUGGGGGCAACCCUGAUCCAGCCAUGCCGCGUGAGUGAUGAAGGCCUUAGGGUUGUAAAGCUCUUUUGCCCGGGAAGAUAAUGACGGUACCGGGAGAAUAAGCCCCGGCUAACUUCGUG
rnacentral:rRNA from 1 species